rnacentral:rRNA from 1 species
UUCCAGACUCCUACGGGAGGCAGCAGUGGGGGAUAUUGCACAAUGGGGGGAACCCUGAUGCAGCGACGCCGCGUGGGUGAAGGAGUAUUUCGGUAUGUAAAGCCCUAUCGGCAGGGAAGAAUUUAGACGGUACCUGACUAAGAAGCCCCGGGUAACUACGGGCCAGCAGCCGCGGGAAUACGUAGGGGGCAAACGGUAUCCGGAUUCACUGGGUGUAAAGGGAGCGUAGACGGCCAGGCAAGCCUGGAGUGAAAGCCCGGGGCCCAACCCCGGGACUGCUCUGGGAACUGUCCGGCUGGAGUGCGGGAGGGGCAGGCGGAAUUCCUGGUGUAGCGGUGAAAUGCGUAGAUAUCAGGAGGAACACCGGCGGCGAAGGCGGCCUGCUGGACCGCGACUGACGUUGAGGCUCGAAAGCGUGGGGAGCGAACAGGAUUAGAUACCCCCGUA